UCACAGGGAGAAUCAGGUUGUGUCAGGAAGGAAGGCUGAAAAGAGAUAACGUUUAGACCUUUACUCCAGUGGCCAUGUCUGUCUCUCUGCUUGCCAAGCCUCUUUUCUAUGGCAGAUCUGUAUGCAAAUGCAUAUGCAGUAUUAGAGAGCCGAGUAAGUAGAAAGUCCGUUUUUAAACACAACAGUUCCCUACACACUCUGACACUAUAACAAGCCAUUUGAUCGGGGAUAUAAAUAUAGAAUUCUGCAUAUGUGUGCACUUGGCUGUCAUACCCUUGUUAAAGGCUGAUUUUUAUUGCAGGGUGAACAUGCCCAGUGUGGUUGAAUAUCUGGAUCUCAGGAACAUGCUGUCACUUUAAAUACCUCCGGGGCACAUUAUUAACCUUUGAGAAGUCAGCCCCAUGCUUAUCCCACUCCAAUUAUUUAUUUAGGUAAAAAUGAGCAGUCAAAACAUGUCAACAAUUUUUAACUUCAGGGUUACCUCAAAUUUGUAUUGGCUUAAGGAAAUGUCCCAUCUUGUUUUAGGUACCAUCUGUUCAUAAACAGUGAAUAAAAAGUCUUUAGGGAACGAGAACUGGCAUUUUUAUAGGAUUUUAAACAAUGACUUUGGAAAAAAUAGACUUUUAUCUUCAGCUGUCAAUGUGUGUUAAUGGUUUGAAAUAUCUAUGAGUGAUGCCGUUUGGCUAACAAUGAUAUUAUUGAAGUCUAAAUAGGAUUCAAAAUAAGAUUUUAAUGGUCCAAUUACUACUACAGUUUUCAGAUUAGGCCUACCAUGUCUUCUUUUGUAGUACAAUGCAUAGAUUGUGUUAUAUAUGCCAACGUGCCCUAAGAACAGUCCAAAAUUGUUUUUUAUGAUGUUAUACAUGUCAUGAUGUCCCUAAGAACACCACCAAAUCAGUUUUUUCCAUAAAAGACUACAUGCCUGUCAAGUGACUAUCUGAGUUUUGUGGUAAUAUUGUAUGAAUAUAUCACAUUCAGAUAUUAAACCUAUCAACAUUGCAGAAUGCUUUCAAGGAUUUCAUAUUUGAUUUUAAAAUUUUAUACAUAAAUGGGUUUUACUUGGAGAGUAUGAGAAAUUAAUCCAGAACAGUUCUCCAUAUCUUUCUGAUGUUGUAUGGCUGAUAAGGGCUUCAGAAAUAUGUCAAAUGAACAGCCUCCUAACAUUAUGGCAAAUCCCCAAGAUAGGGUGUCCCUGUACUCCAACCUACUCUAUUUUGGGACAAGGUGAUGUGCUGGUCUUCUUUGACUUGUACAUAUAGGGAAAAAUUAUCAAACACCACAAUGUGGUACUGACCCAUAGACAUCUGUAAGAUAACUGUCUCAGAGGCCCCUUGGUAUUGCAAACUUUAUAUGCCCCAGUACAGGGGAACGCCAAGGCCAAGAAGUGGUAGUGGGUGGGUAGGGGAGCAGGGUGGGGGAGGGUAUAGGGAACUUUCGGAAUAUCAUUUGAAAUGUGAAUAAGGAAAAUAUCUAAUAAAAAAGAAGUUUUAUAAUGAUUAAAUAAACUUUGUAUAAAACACAUAAAAAUAUAAAAUGGACACACCUAAGUCAUGCAAAAGAAAAAAGAAGAUAACUCUCUAAGAUACUGUACUAUGAACACGUGACACUGGACAAUACUCUGGCUUAGAGAAUUUUUUUAUUUAAUUUAAGAAACAGAUAUCAGAUAAAAUAGCUAUUGCAUACAAUGCCACCCUACCUUUAAUUUUUUUUUCAAUAGACAGUAGUGAAGGUCCUAUCUACUAGGACCUUAUAGACAUCUCAUGAUGAUCAAAUGAGGUUCACUCCUCAAAUAUUUAUUAAGAAACUACCCAGCGUUAGUCUUACAAAACAGAUUUUGCCUUUGGAGAUCCUACUGCUUAUACAAAGAUAAUUGCUAGCUAUGCCCUGGGUCUUCACACUGGAAUAGGGGAAGGAAUGACUAAUCACUUACCUUUUAAAAUACCCAUUCCCAUGAUGGAAUUAAGGAUAAAGUGAGUUAUAUGGUUAACAGGGAGAUGACUUCCUAUUGGAAGGAAGUGUUCCUGUACAAAUAGAACCACCCAGUGACAGUGCACUUGGCCUUUCCCCACUUUGGGGCCUUAUAGAGUUAAGCUUCAAAAUAUGGCCUUGAGAGCUUACGCUUUUUCUGUUGUUACUUUCUUCCUUCCUCUGCUUUUUCAUAUAUAACUUUUUUUUUUUUUUUUGGUCUAUCACUUAAUUACAUGAAAAAUCAUGAUAUUUAAAUUUUUAGAAAUCUUCUACAGGGCAGGGAGGAUAUGAAACCACAUACUUUCUUCAUAAAGCAAAUGUGACUUGGGUGCUUGGAGAGUAUGAAAUGAGUAAUAACUUCUGUUUAAGGAAAGUGAUAAAGGAAUUGGGGAUACCCAUUUCUCUUACUGCCAGUUUAUAUAAUGUUCUAGCAAAAGCAGAGGCAUUUCAAACUGGCAUAGAGAUUUCUAAAUUAAAUUCAGCAGCCCUAUAAUUUUAAAGCUAAUUUCAUAGAAUCAAUCAUUUAUCAUUAGAACACUAUUAUACCCCAUCAAGUUCUGCUAGUGCUUGUGAAAAUCAACUGUCUCUUACAAGAAUUCCAAAACCACUUGCUUGUCUUCGUUCAUCUCCACAAACUCCCUGUAAUUUAAGCCUGGCUCUCCUUGCUGCAACACACUCUGUAGCUGUUCUUGGUUACAGGCUUGUAACUGCUCAUAACUUUGCCCUCAUAGCUGUUCUUCACCUCUGAAGCACAAGUGCAUUUUCUUCAUUUGAUGGCUGUAAGGAGGGAAAUGAUGGAAGAGGAGAGUUCAGAACCAGGUGUUAGGAAACAGAAACAAACAAACAAACAAACAAAACCAAAACAAAAGCAACAGCAAAAAACCCACAGCCCAAUGUAGCAGUAUUGAAAGACAUGGAAUGAGAAACUCCUCCACGCGGGAGGUAGAAAAUAAAUUCCAGUUUCCAUGAAUGCACAGUCAGUAAGAUGGUUUUCAGUGGAUUACCUCUCUAAUUCUGAAGCUGGGAGAAAGAAACUGCCAGUGCUUCUGAUAUAAUUGAAGGACACAACUUGUCGCUAAUCCACAGAAACUCUUCUAGUUAAAUUAAAGUUGUAAAUGUAGUUUCCAAAUGGGAAUUAGUCAUUC
rnacentral:lncRNA from 1 species